rnacentral:sRNA from 1 species
GGACCUUUAGGGGUGGGAGUGGGGAAGGAGAGGUUUGGGGCCAAGUCUUACUGAGGUAGCGCUGCCCCAGGUGCAUCCUGAGCUCUACGUGGACAAAUCGCGGGGAGAUAAACUGAAGAUCAACAUCGAUGUACUUUUUCCGCACAUGCCUUGUGCCUAUCUGAGUAUUGAUGCCAUGGAUGUGGCCGGAGAACAGCAGCUGGAUGUGGAACACAACCUGUUCAAGCAACGACUAGAUAAAGAUGGCAUCCCCGUGAGCUCAGAGGCUGAGCGGCAUGAGCUUGGGAAAGUCGAGGUGACGGUGUUUGACCCUGACUCCCUGGACCCUGAUCGCUGUGAGAGCUGCUAUGGUGCUGAGGCAGAAGAUAUCAAGUGCUGUAACACCUGUGAAGAUGUGCGGGAGGCAUAUCGCCGUCGAGGCUGGGCCUUCAAGAACCCAGAUACUAUUGAGCAGUGCCGGCGAGAGGGCUUCAGCCAGAAGAUGCAGGAGCAGAAGAAUGAAGGCUGCCAGGUGUAUGGCUUCUUGGAAGUCAAUAAGGUGGCCGGAAACUUCCACUUUGCCCCUGGGAAGAGCUUCCAGCAGUCCCAUGUGCACGUCCAUGACUUGCAGAGCUUUGGCCUUGACAACAUCAACAUGACCCACUACAUCCAGCACCUGUCAUUUGGGGAGGACUAUCCAGGCAUUGUGAACCCCCUGGACCACACCAAUGUCACUGCGCCCCAAGGUACCAGCCCGGGAGGCAGCCCCCAGCCGCAGAAGGCCGGCCGGGCACCCACACCCAGUGCUUUGUUUUCCCCUCAGCCUCCAUGAUGUUCCAGUACUUUGUGAAGGUGGUGCCCACUGUGUACAUGAAGGUG